CGGUAAUUCCAGCUCCAAUAGCGUAUAUUAAACUUGUUGCAGUUAAAAAGCUCGUAGUUGAAUUUCUGCUGCAUCGUGGUUCUUCGCUAUGUCGAGUGGGCCUCGUUGUGGCUUAGUUGGGGCAUGUUUUCAUGACUCGACGUUUACUUUGAGAAAAUUAGAGUGCUUCAAGCAGGCUUUUGCCUUGAAUACUUUAGCAUGGAAUAAUGGAGUAGGACUUUGGUUCUAUUUUGUUGGUUUUAGGAGCCGGAGUAAUGGUUAAUAGGAACAGUUGGGGGCAUUCGUAUUUGACUGUCAGAGGUGAAAUUCUUAGAUUUGUCAAAGACGAACUACUGCGAAAGCAUUUGCCAAGGAUGUUUUCAUUAAUCAAGAACGAAAGUUAGGGGAUCGAAGACGAUCAGAUACCGUCGUAGUCCUAACCAUAAACGAUGCCGACUAGAGAUUGGAGGUCGUCAGUU
rnacentral:rRNA from 1 species